rnacentral:lncRNA from 1 species
UCAGAUCUGCAAAGAUAUAUUUCACCUGAAGGGAACCAGAGUGCACUCAACGAAUGGCUAGCAAUCUAACAGAAAAUCUAAGCACCAACCCAAUCAGCAUCCAGAUUGAGUUAUAAAGCUAUUUAAGAUGAAGUCUUCUACAAGUAGAUCAAAAGAAGACUUCAGCAAAACUGACUGACUAAGGAAAAGUCAGCAAGUGAAGUUGUUUUCAAAUGAACAGAAGACAACGAUCUUGGGGUCAAUCAGGAUCGUAGUGUUUGCCAAGAAAAGAAGGAACUGAU